rnacentral:piRNA from 1 species
UACUGAACGCGAAUCUCCGGUGGAGGG